UACAGAGGGUGCAAGCGUUAAUCGGAAUUACUGGGCGUAAAGCGUGCGUAGACGGUUAUGUAAGUCGGGUGUGAAAGCCCCGGGCUCAACCUGGGAAUUGCAUUCGAGACUGCAUAGCUAGGGUGCGGAAGAGGGAAGCGGAAUUUCCGGUGUAGCGGUGAAAUGCGUAGAUAUCGGAAGGAACACCGAUGGCGAAGGCAGGUCUCUGGGCUGACACUGACGCUCAUGCACGAAAGCGUGGGGAGCAAACAGG
rnacentral:rRNA from 1 species